AGACUCCUACGGGAGGCAGCAGUAGGGAAUCUUCGGCAAUGGACGAAAGUCUGACCGAGCAACGCCGCGUGAGUGAAGAAGGUUUUCGGAUCGUAAAACUCUGUUGUUAGAGAAGAACAAGGACGUUAGUAACUGAACGUCCCCUGACGGUAUCUAACCAGAAAGCCACGGCUAACUACGUGCCAGCAGCCGCGGUAAUACGUAGGUGGCAAGCGUUGUCCGGAUUUAUUGGGCGUAAAGCGAGCGCAGGCGGUUUCUUAAGUCUGAUGUGAAAGCCCCCGGCUCAACCGGGGAGGGUCAUUGGAAACUGGGAGACUUGAGUGCAGAAGAGGAGAGUGGAAUUCCAUGUGUAGCGGUGAAAUGCGUAGAUAUAUGGAGGAACACCAGUGGCGAAGGCGGCUCUCUGGUCUGUAACUGACGCUGAGGCUCGAAAGCGUGGG
rnacentral:rRNA from 1 species